rnacentral:lncRNA from 1 species
GCUGCCUUGGAUUUCACCCCACCAGCAGAAAUAAUAUCCACCACACUCCAAGCUGUUUCAGGUUUUAUUUUAGAAUUUAUAAAAUUCCAGUGUCAUCCAUACUCAUGAGCCUUUUUACAUGUUUGCAUAUAGUCUCCAAAUUCCAAAGUUAAGGCCAAGGGAUCAUUGCUAUGGAAACGUACAAUAUGGAAGACGUCAAAGAGAAGAAAUGGACACAUGCCACAGUCUGCUGCGGAAGGAGGGUGCUGGGGGACAGUACUAGGUACAAUCACUUCAUGACCUUCUUCAGAGUGGAAGGUUGGGCUGUGGGGCAUGAGCCCAAGGCAGUGGGUGCCCUGGAUAUAACUCAAGCCUUGCUGUGCAACUGGUGAGGGCACGGGGGCAUAAAGAGGAGGAGGGGGUGAUAGGCUUGGUGAUGCAGGGCAGACCUAAGCUACAGGGUAUUAACCUUUCUGACAGACGCAGAUGGGAAGGUGCCUCCCUAGUUCCCCUUCUCCCGUGCUGGAGGCAAGGCCACCCUGUCCUUCAGGGGCAACCAGGUACCCCACAAGGGGCCACGGUCCAUUUCACUCAGUUCUCAGGCUACAGGAGAGCACUGUGAGGUUUUGGUUUGACAUCUGCAUAGCAGUCUCGGCCAAGAAGAGCUGGCGCAGGAAGGAAAAGCAUCGGCAUGUUUGGCCUGCCCCAAGGAGGGAAAGGCAAGGCAGCUGGGCUCAGCCUGCCACAGUUGUGCUCUGUCAGUAGCACUAGAGAAGACAUGGUUUUCCUUUUACUUGCUGGAGGAGCUCAGACAACACCCUUUGAGCAAGCUGUGGCAGGGCCCAGGUGCAAGAGGCCCCAAGGAGAGAUCAUGGAUUACCCUCUACCACAUGAUGGAGGUCUCAGGAGGGCUCAGCACACACAUCAACCCCCAAUGAUGUUGGAGCAGAAGCCUGGCUCACACCACCUCUGCAGCCCAGGGCUACAGCACAGCUGCACCCAUGGCCCUGGGGCCAAGCCCUGUGCUAGCUCAGCAUGCAGUCCUAUGGAUUCACAGCCUGCCUCAGCACCACCAUGCUCUGCUUCCCUCUGGAGCAGCUCUCACAGCUGUGCGGAGACACAAGGCUCCUCUUGCUUCUCCUCCACGCUUCUGCUAGGGCUGCCCAGGUGA